AUCCUUUGAUGCUGUGCUAUUGGAACCAACAGAUGCUGAUACAGUUUGGACUGAUGGGCAGCAAUACUGCUGCCUCCUUCCUUUUGGGAGAGGAUCGUGCGUCUCCCUUCCCAAAUCUGUCUUGUGGCUCUCUUAAUAAAAUUACCAACACGCUAUUUUUUCUGGAAACACAAAACCUACGCCAGACCUCUAGGCUGAAAAGCUGUCAAUAGUGUAAUAAGGCACCUGUACACAAAUAGGAAUGGGAAGCUUGCUUGCUGACGCAUAAAGCUCUUAACACUUAUGCAGAAGUUUUUUGUAUGCUUGCUGGGCUUGUAAGUCUGAAGGGCGUAACAGACUUAGACUUCUCUGUGUUUGGAACAUCACUGAGUAAAAAAGAAGCCUUUACAAAAGCUUUGGUCACAAAAUUCAUAGGAUUAUUCUCACACCUCUGAGACGUGACUAUUUUCACUCUGUGAGGAAUAAAACACGCAGCAGAAGAAACACUCUCUGGCUCCUCUCACUGCACCUCAGGUCUUUUCAAACACUGGAAGGGAGACACAGAUCUUACAUUUCUCAGGGAGAGAAAGGAGUCACAGCUGUUUCCAAACCUGGAACCAGCUUCAGCUACUAAAACUCCAACCGUGUUUGAAUUAACUGAUUUCAGAGAGAGAUUUCAGAGGAAAACAGUAGAUUUUCAGAGAGGUAUGUUGGUCACUUUAGUCAGCUGUUGUGUAACACCACAAAUAAAAACUUAUUUAUUUUUUUUUUUAUUUGUAUAGUGCCAAAUUGGCAUUAAGUGAAAAUUGAACAGGUUUUGGAGCUAUUUCAACAUUUUCCCCUUGAUUUUUGCAGCUCCAUGGAAGAGAAGAAGCUCUGAUGGAGCAAGAAGCCUCUCUGGAUAAUCUAAAAGAGGUGCGGUAAUGUAAGGACGCUUAUUGCUUUACUUGCCCUUUCACUUGGUGGUCAUUAUCUGAAGCCAUGCUGUGUUUACCAGGUUUAAUGCUUCUUUCUUUAAUGUACUUGAAACACGGAAAUGGAAGUUUAUCGGAUCCUUUUAACACUAAAAUGCAACUUGGCUUGUAAUUGUUUCUAAAAUGAUCUGGUUCAUCCUGUUUGGAAUGUGAUAUUUCUACAGCAGAAGGAUGCAGAAGUGAAAAGGCUUGAAAUGCUGCUGAAGGAAAUUGCCGAAUGUCAGGACGACCUUGAGGAAGCAAAUGAAUCCAUAAGAAAUCCAUCGAGAGGAAUUAUUUCCUAUGAUCAGUAACUCUCCAAGUCUGAGUUAACACUGCUGGUUGUCUGAACGGGAUGUCUGCAAAGCUGAUGACUUGGUUUUUCUGUGACAGGAAGGGUGUGAAUGCAGUCAAUUACUUUCCCCCUCUCUGUUUCUGAGUUCUUGAGGCAUUUUUGCAGCGUGGUCUCUACUGUUCUGUCACUUGUUUACAAGAAGAGAAAGGGUAAAGCAGUUGUUGGUUUAAUCACUCUGCUGCUCAGGAACUCCGUCAAAGGAUUUCGGAGUGUUGUUUACCAAAAAAAUCGAGUUUUCUGUACACAGAUAUUUGAGUAUUUUUCUUUUAUUUCAGGUAAAUGACGGGAUUCUAGGGAAGAAGUACUCAAAUCAAUAGAUAAGGACAGCAGAAGCUCCUUCAUCUUUCCAUCAUCUUUCCUUCAUCUAUCUUGAAGGUUUUGGCUUGGAAGAUCAUCAAGUUGAAAGCUGAAAUAGCUGAUGAUGUGACUAUAUUACAACUACCACCGAAUUCUGAAGUUGAUGGGCUCCUGACUGCUCUUAAGGAUUGGAUCUCAGAUGAGCACCUGAGCAAACUCCAAAGACAAGAAGAAAGCAAGGACGGUCAGAAGCCUCAGUCUGCUGGAAGAACCCACAUCCAGGAGAAGAGAUGCUCACACCCAAUUGAAAAUACUUUAAUGUCUCUGUUGGAUCUUGAAGUUUCAGUGAAUGACUUAUGACAGAUCAUACUAUGUGAUACUGAAAGCCUUUCCUUCCAUCUCUCCAGGGGCACCAAGGCUUGGAAAUCAAUGCGGUGUUCAGGAGUUCUACUUGUACUGCUUUCCUUCAUUCUCUGAAGGGUUUGUAGGCACUGGUGUUGGUCUUGGUGGUUGAGCUCACACGACGAUGCAUCUCUGGUUGCUACUGUCCAACCAAUUCCUGAUUUGGCUCCUAAGCCACUCUUCAAACACAAACCAGUCCAGACCACUGCCAAUCUGCCUGUGCUGCAGUGGUACAGAGCUGAGGCAAUGUGCGACUCCUCUGAAGCUGAUGGACUGCAAAAGAUUUGGACUAUCAAAGCUUUGGGAUGGGAAAUGUUUGGGGGGGUG